rnacentral:rRNA from 1 species
AUUGAACGCUGGCGGCAGGCCUAACACAUGCAAGUCGAACGGUAACAGGAAUCAGCUUGCUGAUUCGCUGACGAGUGGCGGACGGGUGAGUAAUGUCUGGGAAACUGCCUGAUGGAGGGGGAUAACUACUGGAAACGGUAGCUAAUACCGCAUAACGUCGCAAGACCAAAGAGGGGGACCUUCGGGCCUCUUGCCAUCGGAUGUGCCCAGAUGGGAUUAGCUAGUAGGUGGGGUAACGGCUCACCUAGGCGACGAUCCCUAGCUGGUCUGGGAGGAAGACCAGCCACACUGGAACUGAGACACGGUCCAGACUCCUACGGGAGGCAGCAGUGGGGAAUAUUGCACAAUGGGCGCAAGCCUGAUGCAGCCAUGCCGCGUGUAUGAAGAAGGCCUUCGGGUUGUAAAGUACUUUCAGCGGGGAGGAAGGGAGUAAAGUUAAUACCUUUGCUCAUUGACGUUACCCGCAGAAGAAGCACCGGCUAACUCCGUGCCAGCAGCCGCUGUAA